CAAUAGCGUAUAUUAAAGUUGUUGCAGUUAAAAAGCUCGUAGUCGAACUUCGGGCCUGGCCGGGCGGUCUGCCUAACGGUAUGUACUGUCUGGCCGGGCCUUACCUCUUGGUGAGCCGGCAUGCCCUUCAUUGGGUGUGUCGGUGAACCAGGACUUUUACCUUGAGAAAAUUAGAGUGUUCAAAGCAGGCCUAUGCUCGAAUACAUUAGCAUGGAAUAAUAAAAUAGGACGUGUGGUUCUAUUUUGUUGGUUUCUAGAGUCACCGUAAUGAUUAAUAGGGAUAGUUGGGGGCAUUAGUAUUCAGUUGCUAGAGGUGAAAUUCUUGGAUUUACUGAAGACUAACUUCUGCGAAAGCAUUUGCCAAGGAUGUUUUCAUUGA
rnacentral:rRNA from 1 species